UAACUCCUGAUAAUCACCCAGAGUUCAUCGAGCAAUGACAUACGUCCUAGAAAAUAUUAAAAAUCCUGAUGAGCUGGACCGAUGACGCUACAAAAAAUUGAUGCAUUUCUUUCUCUGUGGAGUCUUACGGUUUGGAAAUAACAUUUUGGAAUUAAUUUGUCGUUCGACAGUGGCAUCUGGUGAACGAGGGUGAUGAGGGAUGGGUUCUGGAAGGUUCUGAGGGGCAUGGCGAUUACGUCGAGUGAUUGGGCCCGAGUGGAGCGACAAUGACGCAACUGGGGCCUUCCGUCAGGGCCGCGUCCGUCACCCCCAUCGAGUUGAAAAAAACAAAUUUCUGGCCUCCUAAAUUAAACGUGGAAGGAGCUGCCAAGGUUGGGGUCGAUGGCCAGCUACAAAAGGCGUAAACAAGUAAACAACAUUUUUCAUUGGAAGUGGCUUUUGGAAAAAUUCCCAGAAGGUUCGCUCGAUGGAAAAACACUCGAUGAUAUUCCGAUUGAAUAUCGCUUUUCUACCUGCACCAUCCAACGGAAAAGACACAUCUCGUGAUUCAUCAAGGGCUAUGCACCGCUCUCCGUCAUUUUUCAUUUGGUUUUUCCCCAAAUUUUCUCUUUGAAAGCUUCCAGGAAAUCGGGAUGUCAUGGGCUAAGACAUUUCUGUUGGCACGUCACAGGUUUGGGACGCGUUGGAGUUCGUCGACGAGACAAUUUCAGAUCAUUUUAGUCAUCCUCACUUCCAAUUAGGAGAUGAUCAGUGGAAAAAUGAGAAAUGAAGGGAGGAGAGGUAUCUUCCGCAUUAAAAAACCAUUCUGGCCUGC